UAGGGAAUUUUCCGCAAUGGGCGAAAGCCUGACGGAGCAACGCCGCGUGAGUGAUGAAGGUCUUCGGAUCGUAAAACUCUGUUAUUAGGGAAGAACAAAUGUGUAAGUAACUAUGCACGUCUUGACGGUACCUAAUCAGAAAGCCACGGCUAACUACGUGCCAGCAGCCGCGGUAAUACGUAGGUGGCAAGCGUUAUCCGGAAUUAUUGGGCGUAAAGCGCGCGUAGGCGGUUUUUUAAGUCUGAUGUGAAAGCCCACGGCUCAACCGUGGAGGGUCAUUGGAAACUGGAAAACUUGAGUGCAGAAGAGGAAAGUGGAAUUCCAUGGGUAGCGGUGAAAUGCGCAGAGAUAUGGAGGAACACCAGUGGCGAAGGCGACUUUCUGGUCUGUAACUGACGCUGAUGUGCGAAAGCGUGGGGAUCAAACAGG
rnacentral:rRNA from 1 species